rnacentral:rRNA from 1 species
CCUACGGGAGGCAGCAGUGGGGGAUAUUGCACAAUGGGGGAAACCCUGAUGCAGCGACGCCGCGUGGGUGAAGAAGUAUUUCGGUAUGUAAAGCCCUAUCAGCAGGGAAGCAAGAAGACGGUAUCUUACUAAGAAGCCCCGGCGUACUACGUGCCAGCAGCCGCGGUAAUACGGAGGGGGCGAGCGUUAUCCGGAGUUAUUGGGGUUAAAGGGUGCGUAGGCGGAAGGUUAAGUCAGCGGUAAAAUGUCGGUGCUCAACACCGGCCUGCCGUUGAAACUGGUCGUCUGGAGUGGGCGAGAAGUAUGCGGAAUGCGUGGUGUAGCGGUGAAAUGCAUAGAUAUCACGAAGAACUCCGAUUGCGAAGGCAGCAUACCGGCGCUAGACUGACGCUGAGGCACGAAAGCGUGGGGAUCGAACAGGAUUAGAUACCCGUGUAGUC